UACAGAGGGGGCAAGCGUUGUUCGGAACUACUGGGCGUAAAGGGCGCGUAGGCGGCCUGUUAAGUCGAACGUGAAAUCCCCAGGCUCAACCUGGGAACUGCGUCCGAUACUGGCAGGCUUGAAUCCGGGAGAGGGAUGCGGAAUUCCAGGUGUAGCGGUGAAAUGUGUAGAUAUCUGGAGGAACACCGGUGGCGAAGGCGGCAUCCUGGACCGGUAUUGACGCUGAGGCGCGAAAGCCAGGGGAGCAAACGGG
rnacentral:rRNA from 1 species